rnacentral:rRNA from 1 species
AAACCAGCGCCUCAAGUGGUCAGGAGGAUUAUUGGGCCUAAAGCAUCCGUAGCCUGUUCUGUAAGUUUUCGGUUAAAUCCACUAGCUCAACUAGUGGGCUGCCGAAAAUACUGCAGGGCUAGGGAGUGGGAGAGGUAGACGGUACUCGGGAGGAAGGGGUAAAAUCCUUUGAUCUCUCGAUGACCACCUGUGGCGAAGGCGGUCUACCAGAACAUGUCCGACGGUGAGGGAUGAAAGCUGGGGGAGCAAACAGGAUUAGAUACCCCAGUAGUCC